rnacentral:rRNA from 1 species
AUGUAAUUUAAUGCCUACAACAUUAAUUCACUGGAUCCCAUUAGAAAUCCGUAUUUAAGUAUGUCGGGGCUAGAGUAGUACUGGGAUGGGUGACCUCCCAAGAAGUCCCAGUGUUUUACAUG